rnacentral:rRNA from 1 species
UGCAGUCGAGCGGAACGACUUAACUGAACCUUCGGGGGACGUUAAGGGCGUCGAGCGGCGGACGGGUGAGUAAUGCCUGGGAAUAUGCCUUGAUGUGGGGGAUAACUAUUGGAAACGAUAGCUAAUACCGCAUAAUGCCUUCGGGCCAAAGAGGGGGACCUUCGGGCCUCUCGCGUCAAGAUUAGCCCAGGUGGGAUUAGCUAGUUGGUGAGGUAAAGGCUCACCAAGGCGACGAUCCCUAGCUGGUCUGAGAGGAUGAUCAGCCACACUGGAACCGAGACACGGUCCAGACUCCUACGGGAGGCAGCAGUGGGGAAUAUUGCACAAUGGGCGCAAGCCUGAUGCAGCCAUGCCGCGUGUGUGAAGAAGGCCUUCGGGUUGUAAAGCACUUUCAGUCGUGAGGAAGGUAGUGUAGUUAAUAGCUGCAUUAUUUGACGUUAGCGACAGAAGAAGCACCGGCUAACUCCGUGCCAGCAGCCGCGGUAAUACGGAGGGUGCGAGCGUUAAUCGGAAUUACUGGGCGUAAAGCGCAUGCAGGUGGGUGAUUAAGUCAGAUGUGAAAGCCCGGGGCUCAACCUCGGAACAGCAUUUGAAACUGGUCACCUAGAGUACUGUAGAGGGGGGUAGAAUUUCAGGUGUAGCGU